rnacentral:rRNA from 1 species
AACGAACGCUGGCGGCAUGCCUAACACAUGCAAGUCGAACGAGACCUUCGGGUCUAGUGGCGCACGGGUGCGUAACGCGUGGGAACCUGCCCUUAGGUUCGGAAUAACUCCCCGAAAGGGGUGCUAAUACCGGAUAAUGUCUUCGGACCAAAGAUUUAUCGCCUUUGGAUGGGCCCGCGUUGGAUUAGCUAGUUGGUAGGGUAAAAGCCUACCAAGGCGACGAUCCAUAGCUGGUCUGGGAGGAUGAUCAGCCACACUGGGACUGAGACACGGCCCAGACCCCUCGGGGGGGCGGAGGUGGGGAAUUGGGAACAAGGGGGGAAGGCUGGAACAAGCAAUGCCGGGGGAGGAAGGAAGCCGUGGGGGUUGAAAAGCUUUUUUACCCGGGAGGAUAAUGACGGUACCGGGAAAAAAAGCCCCGGCUAACUCCGUG